CUUCUUAUCAGUGAAAGACAGAGGGGCAGCCUCUGGUUAGGACACUGUUUAAGAAUACAGAUACCCGUGACGAUUUGUCCAGCUGCUUAACUGUCCACCAAGAGUUCGCUUUUGUAAGUGGAUGUGAGUGGUAGAACACAAGAAUUUUCCUAUGUGAUGAAAUAGACACCAAACAGUUUUGGUCCCUGUAUAGCAUUUAUUAAAAUAAUUUUAUUUAUUUCUCUUUGGCUGUGCUGGGUCUUUGUUGCAGUGUGGGCUUUUCUGUUGCUGUGGUGAGUAGGGGCUGCUCCCUGGUUGUACUGCAUGGGCUUCUCACUGGGGUGGCUUCUCUUGCCGUGGGCCACGGGCUCUAGGUCACGAAGACUUCAGUAAUUAUGGCUUCCGAGCUCUAGAGCACAGGCUCAAUCGUUGUGGUGCAUGGGCUUAGUUACUCCAGGGCAUGUGGGAUCCUCUCAGACCAGGGAUCAAACCUAUGUCUCCUGCCCUGGCUGGCGGAUUCUUAACCACCUGACCACCAGGGAAGCCCUAGCUGAGUGUUAACAUGAGUACUGCAGUAUUAACAUGAGCACAGCUGCAGGUCUUUGUGGAUAAGGCAGAGCUUGUGGGUCGAUAGUUUUCUGAAGGGGAAAAGCAGGGUCCAUUUGACCAUACGGGCAAUUCAAUUUAGUCUCUCUUGAUGGUACACUUCUUUUUCCAAUCACCUUUAAGAAAAUGCACUUGUGAGAUGAUUAAUGUUGGUGGUGUUUAAUAAAAGCAGAGCAGCCCCAGGACUGAGGUUCUAACCCAUCUGAACCCGGAUCCCACUGGCUGGCAAUGCCUUAGCUGACCUCCCUGGGCCUCACUUUCCUUAUCUUGAAAAUGGGGAUGAUACUGAGGACACUGCAGGUUGGCUUGUGAACUAGGGUGCGUGUUGAACUCUCAAAAACUAUUUGAGACUCCAACUUCAAUGGAAUAGAUGUUGCAACUCCUCAAAGGGAGAUCCUCUCUAAACACAGGGAUGAUUGGGCUCAUAAGGGAAGAAAACUGGAUCCGGGGAGUGUCAGCUGCAUCUUUGUGGGCUCUGACCAGACAGGUGUUGUAACCCUGUGGAAAGGAACUUUCUUGUGAGGUGGCCAAUCUCUAUCCACUAUGGCCUAUUCUUAGAACCACGGACUCAAAGAAGGAUUCCAGAGGGUGGAGGUUAAUCUCCCAGGACCUUGGAAGUAAGCUCAGAGCAUUACUCCGAGGAUCAUUUCCUUCCCCUGGACAACAGUGGCUCCUGUUUAAAGGAACAGAUCAUCACUGCUGUAAGCCAAUCAGUGUCAUCCCAGGAGGAGAGUGUGAGUGGUUCUGCCCAAGGAGGUGGAAAAGAAAGUCUCCUGGGGCUUUGCAGAAAUAUUUUUCUUUCCAUUAAAUCAAGAGG
ensembl:lncRNA